UCCAAACACAACUCUAGUUUUCAAAUAUGAUUCACUUGAAAAAAAUAUUUCACUUUUUUUCUGGAAUUUUACAAUUCUUAUGUCCAAACGCUCACUAAAUCUUUUCACAAGUGUGUAUAGCAUAUUCUGCUGCCAUUUUCAGUUGUCAGUCCAGAUGCUUGUGUGUUCGAUGAUCCAACUGAUGAGGUCUCUCAUGGUUAUGGACACCUGGUUGGUCACCUGAUAAGUACUCAAUCUCAAAUCUGGAUCUUUUGAUAGCCCCAUAAAGUGCUCCUCUACUUUUGGUUUUUCUCGCUACAUAUCUUCUCUGCUACUGUUUUCUUUUGUUUAUCAUGCCAACUUGUAUUUGUUUUGUUGGGUGGAUGUGUAGACCACAUGGUGACAGUAAUUAAGGAUUUGGACUUUGAAGUUUAAAGGUUGGUGAUCCAGCAUGCGUGUUAUACAUGGUUUCUUGGUCUUUUUGGUGCUUUCAAUGCAAUCUUGGUAUUGUCACGCUUCGAGAAAGGGGUUUUUUCAAUCUUGUCUGUGGCAUCUCUUGUGACUUCCUAUUUGUGCUUGCAGCCAUUGGGCCUUAGAGCAGUGAAUGCGUCUUUCUGUGAAGCUGCUUGUUUCCUUGCCAAUUUGCUUUGAGGUUUCUGUAGUUCAGACUUCUAUAAUUAUUGAGAUUUUAAUUCCAGUUUCCUUCCCUAAUGAUAGUGAUUCCCUUCUCUCGUUGUCCAAACUGCUGGUAAUACGGAAAUUGUUAACUGAGAUAGAUCUUUUCACAAGUGUUUGUAGUGUAUUCUGCUGCCACAUUUUCGUCUUUAGUCCAGAUGCUUAUGUUCUUCGAUUAUCCAACUUAUGAGAUCUCUCUCAUGGUUACGGACGCCUGGUUGGACACCUGAUAAGUAUUCAAUCUCAAAUCUGGAUCUUUUGAUAGCCCCUUAAAGUGCUCCUCUACUUUUGGUUUUAUCGCUACAUAUCUUCUCUGCUACUGUUUUCUUUUUGUUUAUCACGCCAACUUGUUUUUGUUUGUUGGGUGGAUGUGUAGACCUCAUGGUGACAGUAACUAAGGAUUGGAUUUUGAAAUUUCAAAGCUUGGUCCAGUAUGUUACACACGGUUUCUUGGUCUUUUUGGUGCUUGCAUUGCAAUCCUGAUAUUGUCAGGCUUCGAGAAAGGGGGUUUUUCAAUCUCGUCUCUGGCAUCUCUUGUGAUUUCCUUGUGGUAUGGGUUUCACCAGCUUUUCACUUACUGUUACCUCCUGCUUGUGCUUGCAGCCAUUGGGCCCAUAGAGAAAUGAAUUCCUCCUUGCAUGGAGCCGCCUUGUUUUCCUUGCCGGUCAUUAUUGAGGUCUCUGUAGUUUAGGCUUCUAUGAGUAUUGAGAUUUUCAAUCCAGUUUUCUUCCCUAAUUAGAGUGAUUCCCUUAUCUUUGUCAAAACUGCUGGUAUAGGGAAAUUGUCGACUGAGAUAAAUCUUUUCACAAGUGUGUAUAGCGUAUUCUGCUGCCAUUUUCAGUUUUCAUUCCAGAUGCUUAUGUUCUUCGAUGAUCCAACCGAUGAGAUCUCUCUUAUAGUUAUGGACACCUGGUUGGACACCUGAUAAGUACUCCAUCUCAAAUGUGGAUCUUUUGAUAGCCCUAUAAAGUGCUCCUCUACUUUUGGUUUUCUCGCUACAUAUCUCCUCUGCUACUGUUUUCUUUUGUUUAUCACGCCAACUUGUUUUUGUUUGUUGGGUGGAUGUGUAGACCACAUGGUGACAGUAAUUAAGGAUUGGAUUUUGAAAUUUCAAAGGUUGGUGAUCCAGUAUGCGUUACACAUGGUUUCUUGGUCUUUUUGGUGCUUGCAUUGCAAUCUUGAUAUUGUCAGGCUUCAAGAAAGGGGGUUUUUCAAUCUUGUCUCUGGCAUCUCUUCUGAUUUCCUAGUCGUACGGGUUUCACCAGCUUUCCACUUAAAUGUUACCUCCUAUUUGUGCUUGCAGCCAUUGGGCCUUAGAGCAGUGAAUUCGGCUUUCCUUGGAGCCGCUUGUUUCCUUGCCGAUUUGCGUUGAGGUUUCUGUAGUUCAGACUUCUAAUUAUUGAGAUUUUCGUUCCAGUUUCCUUCCCUAAUUAUAGUGAUUCCUUCUCUCUUUGUCAACACUGCUGGUAAUGCGGAAAUUGUUAACUGAGUUAAAUCUUUUCACAAGUGUUUAUAGUGUAUUCUGCUGCCAUUUUUUUCCAGUCCAGAUGCUUAUGUUCUUCGAUUGCUUAUGUUCUUCGAUUAUCCAACUUAUGUGAGAGAUCUCUUAUGGUUAUGGACACCUGAUAAGUACUCAAACUCAAAUCUGGAUCUUUUGAUAUAGCCCCUACUCUGCUUUUGGUGUUCUUGCUGCAUGUCUUUUUUCUCUGCUUCUGUUUUCUUUUGUUUAUCAUGUCAGCUUGCUUUUGUUUGUUGGAUAGAUUGUAGACCACAUGGUGACAGUGAUAGAACAUUAGAUUUUGAAAUUUCAGAGGUUGGUGUCAAGUGCUUGCACUGCAAUCCAGACAUUGUCAAGCUUUGAAAAAAGGGGGUUUUCCGAUCUCGUGUCUGGAAUAUCUAGUGAUUUCCUAGUGGCAUGGGUUUCGCCAACUUUGCACUUAACUGUUCCUUCUCUCUGUGAUUGCAGCUGUUGGGAUAUAGGUUUCUGAUUUGCAAUUCUCUCAUAGUUUCCGUUGAGAAGUUAAGCUCGGACCCAAGCAAUUCAAGCGGGCAGUCAGGCUUUGGGAGUUCUUUGAUUUUUCUCUUUUUGGGUUUGAGAUCCAGUUUGUUAUUAGAUCUGUUUUCUCUAUCUUCUUUGUUGAUUAGAGUUGGUUUUUUGUAUUUCAACAUUGACAUUGGUUGAUCAGGUCUUGGUAAUGUUUAUAGAAGAAAGGCCUUCUGGUGGAUUGCGGCUAGUUAAACUCUACCUAUUCAUAGUCAUGGUAUCUCACCAAUUACCCUUCACCAAUAGUCGUUGCAGUCGCAGACUUCCCUUUUCGGUGCUGCUUUUUGUGACCUUCUGCUAGUUACCUUGGUUUCUCAAUGUUCAUAUCUUUGCUUUCUUUCCAUGUGUAGUUUAUUUUUGUUGUUCUCACCCUUGACCGUUUUCUUGUGUAUUACGGCAUGUGGGACUCUGAUGAAAUUGAAAGCUGGUGAGAUCCAUUCUUGGUGCAAUUUUUGGGGAAUGAAGCAUGCUUUUAGAUUUUGGGUUGGUUAUGAGGUUUUUGUUGUGAGACUCCGCUAUGCAAUUAGUAGUGUGUUUAUUUUUACCUUGAUGAUCGGAGAUGAUGUUGCUAUGUUAGCAUCAAGUUCCAGUUCUAUUUGGAGUUGCAACAAUGGACAGAGGUUACAUGGGCAUCUUCUUCUAUUUGUGCACUGGUGUACACUGUUUUGCCCCACUACCUGAGCUAUCACUCCCCUGGAACCUCACAAUUCUUUUUAUUGAAUCAGAUUACGAGUAGAACUAGCAAUAACGCUACCCAUGCUGACUUGGAUCUUCAUGGUAUGAUGUCAGUUAUGAAGGAUAUAUGGGCAAGUUCCCAGGUCUUUGACUAUAGGUAUUGAAUAUUUUCGUCUCUCGAAGCUUUAUCAAAACUGCUGUUAUAUGGAAGUUCUCAACCAAGUUAAAUUCUUUUCACAAGUGUGCAUAGUGUAUUCCGCUGCCUUUUUUAGUUCAAGUCGGAUGCUUAUGUUCAUCGAUGAUACAACUGAUGAGAUCGCUUAUUGUUAUUGGCAUCUGAUAAGUGCUCAAACUCUUUUAAGUGCUCCGCUACUUUUGGUGUACUUGCUACUCAAUUCCGUCUUCUUCUGCUUGUCAUGCCAGCUUGGUUUUGUUUGUUGGAUAGCACAUGGUGACCGUAAUAGAGAAUUAGAUUUGGGAUUUCAAAGGUUGCUGUCCCGUAUUCCUGUGCAUGCUGUCUCCUGGUCUUCUUUUGGUGCUUGCAGUGCAAUCUGGAUAUUUUCAGGCUUCAAGAAAAGGGUGUUUUCAAUUUUGUAUCUGGCAUCUUAGUAAUUUCCGAGGUGGUAUGGGUUUCACGAGAUUUGCAGUAAACUCUUCUUUCUUUCUGUGCUUGCAGCUGUUGGGUCUUAGAGCUGUGAAUUCUUUUCCUGAUGGAAUGGCCUUGUUCGUCGAUUUGCGUUUCUUUAGGCUUUUAUGGUAUUGCGAUUUUAAGUUCAGUUUCAUUCCGUAAUCAUAGUGAUGGCCUCCUAGUCUGAAGUUAAAUGUUUAGUGUAUAUAUUAACUAGAAGAGAGGAACAUCUUAGAUCUCAUAGACUCUGAUCAAUCAAUGUCUUUACGAGGAAGCAGAGGGGUUUUAGUGCUUAUAUUUUUGUAUGAGUUCAUUUGUUUCAAACUAUUCUAUUAGUCACCGGGUCAUACAGCAGUGUGGAUUUUUUGUUCUUGUUUUAAUGGAGCAAAAUUGUUGUUGGGUUUCCAGUGAGCAAUAUCUAUUCUGCUCAGUCUUUUUUCUUCCCCUUUUGGAGGGAUAAGGUAGUAAAGGAAAAAUCAAACAAAGCAACCACCCGUAUGCAAGACUGAGCAGAAUAAUCAAACAAAGCAACCACCUGUAUGCAAGAAGUGUACCUGAUGUCCAAUACAUUAAAGAAGCUUCUGCUGACCAUCUUCCUGGUUCAUGCAUCACAUAUAUCUUCUAACAAAUGAAAUUCUGUUUUGGGCUGGAGAUAUUACUUUUACAUUUUAGCUGCUGUGCAUUUUCAGAUUAGCAUUUUGUCAGCUGAAGUCAAAUUGUGCACUAACUAGCCAGCUCCCAGAAGUUGUCUACUUCACGUGAAGUCGCAUCGGAAAACAAUACAUUUUUUCCUGUGAAUGUUUCAUUAUAGUCCGGGGACUCUGCUUUUCAAUAUCUGCUGGCUUUUCUUUGGAGUAACUGUCAUAUCAUAUCUGCUAUUUUUGCCUGAACGAUUCGGGUCCUAGAUGGGCAGGGUAAAGUCUAUGGCUUGUUUAGAAAAUUUGAAGUGCAUUCCGUGUUAGGUUGGGUUUGUUAGUGCAACUGGUGUUUGGAUAAUCAUUUCUCUCAUAUAGCUGCUUUUACAACCGUCUUUACUGUGAGAUUAGAGGAUGGAACUUGAGAGGGACAAUCAUGUGAUCUUUCUCAGGGAGUGUAUGCAAUGAUGUCUAAGCAUAUGUGCUGUCAAUUGAGCCUUUUGAUCUGAGAGAGUCUUAUCAUAUCUGCUGUGUCGAAGGAUCCCCCCAGCCUUAUAGGAGAGAGACCUUACUUCAUCAAAAGAAAAAAAAGGAACAAGGACGCCCAGCUUAUAGGUUCUUAUAUCUUUCGAUAUACAAUGAUGUGGUUGAACACAGAUGUGAUUUUAUCUUCUUUGGAGAAUGUUGACAUUGUAAUGGGCUAUGUCCAACUUUGGUAGGUCAUCUGGCACUAUGGGAUUUGUACCCGCAACUUGCUUUUUGAUUCCUGCAUACACUAAACUGAGGUGUUGUGAAUUGAUUUUGUUGCUUUAAACAAGGUUUUUUUUAUGUGGAAGUAAUCUUGUUGGUUUUGUUACUUUAAACACAGUUUUUUGUUGUGGAAGUAGUCCUUUUGAGUUUCAGCUUCGAGAGAGACUCGGUGGAGAGUUUGCUUUUGUCACUUGGCUAUAUGAGAAUUUUUUAAUGAAUUUUACUUGGAAGGUCAUUGCCAAGUCUCAAUCUUAUUGGUUCAAUUUUUUUUUUUUGUUUAGCAAUUGAAUCGUCAAUCUAUCCUAUAUUCUCUCCUAGGUAGACCUAUGUCUCUCACUUUGUCUCUCCUAUAUUCUCUCCUAGGUAGACCUAUGUCUCUCACUUUGUAUCCCUAAGUACAGUCCUAGACCUGUAUCCAUUCUUCAACAAUUCCGUCAUUGAUCCUUUUUAACUAGGAGGUCGCUACCCGGUCUGUUCCUCCCAGUCUUCAUUUCCAUUUGUGUAAAUCCAAACUUAUUUCCGGGUUGUUCGUCGGCACUGUGUCUUGAUUGUGUUUGAGUGAUGCAUUUGUUGAAGUCUGUUUUAUUUGUUCAACAUAUGGUCUUGUCUUGAUACUAACAGUGGUUUCUCCUGUGGUUUUGGUCUACCUGUUGCUAGUUUUCGUGUUUAGGUAAUUAGGUGACCCUUGUAACUCCGCCUGUCGAAUCAGCCGGUCCCAAGCCCGGAAUAAGGAGGAGGGAAGGUGUCAAGUGUGCAAUUAUAGGAAAGCGUGGCUGCUAGAUAAAAUGCCUCAAGAUGUGUUAGCAGCUUGUGUUGGCAAGUCGACUAAGAAGUUUCAGUCAGUUGUGCUCGCUUAUCAUGCAAUUGGUAAUUAGAAAUUUUGAUAACAACUUUCUUUCUCAGUUCGAAGAAUUUCACCAAUGUUUUUGAUAUUUAAGGGAUUUCAGUCUGUCUCACAUCUGCUGCGAUUUAUUGAUGAUCCACCUUCACACAGGAGAUAUUGUUUCGUUAUUGAUGGCUCCCAACUCAAUAUCCAACUUUAGUGCUUAGUCCGGCAGUAUGUGGGCAUGUAGUGUCAGUAUGUGUUUUCUACUUACCCGGUAUAUAUCCUCAAAAAACAGCCGAUAUUCCUUCCCUCUCCUUCCCUGGUUGCAGUAUAAUACUCGUUUACUGUUUGCUAUUGCUACUGGGUUUUCAUGGAUGAUGUAGACGGCAUCUUAAUAUCAGUGGACCAUUGAAGUUUCUGAUUUGACAUGUGAGGUUUCAAUGCGGUGCACACUACCUUCCGAGCUUGUUUUCCUUCCAUGUCCGCUCCAUUUUAGUGAUGAUCCACCUUUGCAUUGGAAAUUUGUUUCAUUAUUAAUGUCUAGAAAUGCUUCCAUUCACUGCUGCACAACAUAAACUCUUCUCUAUUUGCUUGUGAGCUUUUCAUGGAUGCUGCAAGACUACGUGCAAAUAUCAGUUUGCAAUGGUGGUCAAACUUGUUAUCAUUGGCAACAUUGCGGAAACUAUAUUGAUAUCUGUGGUUUCUAUCGACGCUUGCAGACUACAUCCAAAUUUCCAGUAUGGAGGGAUUGUAGUCUUUUUUUCUUUUCAUGUCGACUCCAAUGUAAUGAUGAUACACCUUUGCAGUGGAAAACAUUUCCUUAAUGAUGUCUCUGAGUGACUUCCAACUCAAUAUUCAACUAAAUAAGAGAUUCGCGUUUAGCCAGGCCGCAAAUUGUGUAUUCAAGCAUCUUAAGAAUUUAUUAUCUGGAAAGUUGGCGAUCCUUGUAUAUCCUCGUCAUCUUUAAGAAGUUCUUGCCUGCCUGAAAUAUAAUAUUCGUUACUAUUGCUUGGUGGCUUUCGUCAGCUUGUGUGAUUUUCGUGAAUGCUGCAGAGCACAUCCAAAUAUCAAUCUGCAAUGGGAAUUAACUCAAUGGCAAUCCUGAAAAUGAGGUGUCGUGUGUGGGGGGUUUCCGUUGACGUUGCAGAUAAUGUCUAAAUUUCAGUCUGCAAUUGUGUAAACAAACUGAUGUAGCAUGCCGUGGAUGGUAAUGGUUUGGCUGUGAGGUCCUUUCAUGUAAGUUCCUGUUUCAGACAAUACUUUAGCUGUGAGAUAGAAGAAUGGAUUCAAAAUCCCCCUAAUACCAUUUGACUUACUGUCACUUGCGCCUUUUGGUCUUUGAAGGUCGAUCCAAAAGCAGGCAUUGAAUACCACGAGACUUAUUUCCUCAGGAAGGUCAACGUAUACCCAAGGAAAUAUUGUGUCAUAGGUUGUACCUUGAUUCUGAUAUAAAAUACCUUUCAUGUAACAUUUGGCUGGUUAUAGCUCAGUUGUGAGAUAUAGCUCUGCAUUUGAAGGUCACCUGGUACCAUGUGGCUUAAUAUCUGUGAGGCUCCUCUAAGUUUAAGAUCGGAUCCAUGCUGUCAUGUGAGCUUUUGGUUUUUGGAGGUCCUUGUGUUGUUUGUUCUGGAGAUGUACCUAAUAUUAGUAUGUUACUAUAGAAGUCAACAGUGCCAAAAAAGACGGCCUUCUCCACUUUGUGUGCUAAAUUGGUGUUUUUUUCAUAGCCGAAUGAGGGAGAGGACAGAUUAUAGUUCAUUGGUGUUAUUUUGUGGAAAGGCCUUAGAGGGAUUAUGAUCAUAUCUUGUUAGAUAGUUAUGAUGUUGACUUCUGGGUUGCCUGGUAUUCCAAUUUAACAUUCAACUUCCUAAGUGGGAUACGAACAUUUGCAAAUAGGAGGAUGAGCGAAUUAGAUACUAGGAUAAUGGCUCUUUUUUGUACUCUUUUACCAGUUUGGUAUUAAAAAAAUAGUAGUUCCCCCGUGUCGAAAUAUAUAGAUUUAGGAGUGUGAGGGUCAAACCAUUCAAUUUUCAGUCUCAAUUCGGACAUUGAUUCCUUCAUUUUUAGAACAAUUAGAAAAUCUAUAACAAAAAUAUUUUAAAAAAUAAGUCAAAAAUCGUAGUGGAAAGUUGAUUCCUCGGAUAAUAGUAAUCCCGUAUGAAGUGGAACAGGAGGGAUAGAACUUUUGUGAGAGUAGAAUCCUGUGCCAAGAGUGAAAAAUUAUUAGUGCAACUGGAAUUCCACGUUGUCUACUUCACGUGAAGUAUAUGGGAAGUAGUAACUUUUUAUCCUGUGGAUGUUUCAUUGCAGUCUGGGGUGCCUCUGCUUUUCAAUAUCUGCUGGCUUUUCUUUGGAGGAACUGUCAUAUGAUAUCUGCUAUUGUUGCCUGAAUGAUUCAUGUCCCAUGGGCAGGGUGAAGUCUGUGGCUUUUUAGGGAAAUUUGAAGUGCAUUACAAGGUUAGUCUGGGGGCUUGUUAGUGCUACCAGUGUACCAGUUCGCUCAUAUUGCUGCUUGUAAACUGUCUUUAACUGUGAGGUAAGAGGAUGGAACUUUUAAGGGAUUUUCUCAGAAAGUGUAUGCAAUGAGGUCUAAGCGUUUGUGCUGUCAAUUUGAGCUUUUUGGUUUGAGGAGUUUAUCAUAUUUUCUGUGUUGUGGAAGGAUACCCAGCUUUAUACGAGAUAUCUUACUAAAUCAAAGGGAUAAAUUAAAAGAAAGGAAGCUUAUAGAUUUUGCUAGUUUGACGUACAAUGACGAGGUCAAAUGGGAGAUGUGAUUUUAUUUUAUCUUCUUUCGAAAACCUUGACGUGGUCAUGUGCACUGCCAAAUAUUGGUAGUCAUCGGGCACUAGGAAUUACGUGGCUGCUAGAUAAAAUGUCUCAAGAUGGAUUAGUGCUCGUGUUGGCAGAUUGAUUAUACUAGAGAAGUUUCAGUCAGGUGUUAUCGCAUAUCAUAACAACAACCCAGUAUAAUCCCACUAGUGGAAUUUGGGGAGGGUAGUGUGUACGCAGACCUUACCCCUACCCUGGGGUAGAGAGGCUGUUUCCGAUAGACUCUCGACUCCCUCCCUCCAAGAACUCCCCACCUUGAUCUUGGGGUGACUCGAACUCACUACCUCUUGGUCGGAAGUGGAGGGUGCUCAUUUAUCGCAUAUCAUGCAAUGGGAAAUUAGAAAUGACUUAUUUUCCCACUUCUUCAGCGAAAAGUAUCCACCAGUGUUUUUGAUGAUUUAAGGAAUACAGUCUGUUGUACAUCUGCUACGAUAUUUUGAUGAUCCACCUUCACACUGGAAUAUUGGUCCAUUCUAGAUGUCUAUAAAUGGCUUCCAACUCAAUAUUCAACUAUAGUAUAAUAAUCUGGCUGUUAGCCAAUGCACUGGGUUUGCAUGGAUGCUGCAGACUACAACUCAAGAAAUCACUUUGCAAUGGUAAUCCGCUUGGAAACCAUUGGUAAGGUUCUGAUUGACAUGUGAGAUAUCAAUGUAUGCUGACUAUGUCCAGAGUCUGUUUUUCUUCAAUGUCUACUCCAAUUUAUUGAUGAUCCAAUUUUUGCAUUUGAUAAUUCUUUCAUCAUUGAUGUCUAUAAAUGAUUUCUUUUACUGCUGUAACAUAAUACUCUUCACUAUUUGCUAUUCUCUUUUGUGGUCUUUAUGGAUGCAGCAGACUACGUGCAAAUGGUAUCAGUUUGCAAUGGUGGCCAACUUCUUCCUAAUUUUUUUAUGAUAAUUGAGUUCUCGAGGGCCAGUGGUGCAAGGUCUAAAACUUGGUGGAUAAUAGGCCUGCCCCUCUAUCUCCAGUUGAAUGCUAAGCUUCUGUUUACGGAAAGGUUUGAACCCAUGAUUUGCGCCUAACUCGCACAAAAGGUUGCACUCCUACCAUUAAUCAAAUUCUUAUCGUUGACGAGAUUGUGGAACUGAUGUUCACAUGUGUGGUCGCUAUGGAUAGCAGACUAUGUCCCAAUUUCUGGUGUGGAGGGAUUGUAGUAUUUUCUUUUUCCCCGUCUACACCAAUGUUAUGAUGAAGCACCUUUCCAUUUGAAAAUUGUUUCGUUAAUGAUGUCCAUCAAUGACUUCAUUAUUCAAACAAAUAAGAGGUUUGUGUGUGAAGGGGUGUAUGCAAGGAUCUUCUGAAUUUAUUAUCUGGACAGUUGGUGACCCUUAUAUAUCCUCGUCAUCUUCAUACGUUCUCAGCAUGCAACAUAAUAUUCUUUACUACCGCUUGUGUGGUUUCCGUGAAUGCUGACGCCAAAUAUCAGUUAGCAAUGGUAACUAACUCCAUGGCAACAUACUGGAAAUGAGGUAUGAAUAUGAUGUGUGGUUUUCAUUGAUGUUACAAAAUAUGUGUAAAUUUCAAUUUGCAAUGGUGUAAUCGAACUGAUAUAAUAUGGCUGUGGCAAAUGGUAGUGUUUGGCUGAUAAGUCCUUUCCCUGUUUCAAAACAAUAUUUUAGCUGUGAGAUACGAUUCAAAAGUGCCCUAAUACCAUGUGACUUAUUGUCACUUGAGCCUUGUGGUCUUUAAUUUCACUUGAGCAUUGGAGAUCACAGGUUGUUUUUUUCUGGAUAUACCUAAUCAAGAAGUUUGUAUAUUAGAAGGGUAUAUCAUAAGAUAAGGUGAAAUCUCACUAUCUCAUAAUAUGUUUCGUCUUUGUUAGAGUAGUUUGGAUAUGAUAUUUUUAUUAGAUUUCUGCUCUCAUAACACUAUGUAUAUUCGUCAUGCAUUUGCUGGCUGCUAUUAUAAUGGUCUUUCCUGAA